rnacentral:rRNA from 1 species
GACGAACGCUGGCGGCGUGCUUAACACAUGCAAGUCGAACGGCAAGGCCUUUUCGGAUGUCCUCGAGUGGCGAACGGGUGAGUAACACGUGGGUGAUCUGCCCUGCACUCUGGGUUAAGCCUGGGAAACUGGGUCUAAUACCGGAUAGGACCGCACUUUAGUGUGUGUGGUGGAAAGUUUUUUGGGUGUAUGAUGAGCCCGCGGCCUAUCAGCUUGUUGUUGGGGUUAUGGCCUACCAAGGCGGCCGCGGGUAGCCGGACUGAGAGGUUGGUCGGCCACAAAGAGACUGAGAGAAGGAACAGAAGCGGAAGAGAGGAAGAAGGGGGGAAUAAUGAACAAGGGGAGAAAGGCUGAUGAAGAGAAGCCGCGGGGGGGAAGACGGCCUUGGGGUGGAAAACAAGUAGCGGGAGGGAAGAAGCGUGUUGUGACGGUACCUGGAGAAGAAGCACCGGCUAACUACGUG